rnacentral:rRNA from 1 species
GUCCACGCUGUAAACGAUGGGUACUAGGUGUUGCGGGUAUUGACCCCUGCAGUGCCGAAGCUAACGCAUUAAGUACCCCGCCUGGGAAGUACGGCCGCAAGGCUAAAACUCAAAGGAAUUGACGGGGGCCCGCACAAGCGGUGGAGCAUGUGGUUUAAUUCGACGCAACGCGCAGAACCUUACCCAGACUUGACAUUGAUGGAAUCCUGUAGAGAUACGGGAGUGCCCUUCGGGGCCCAGAAACAGGUGCUGCAUGGCUGUCGU